AUUGAACGCUGGCGGCAUGCUUUACACAUGCAAGUCGGACGGCAGCACAGAGAAGCUUGCUUCUUGGGUGGCGAGUGGCGAACGGGUGAGUAAUAUAUCGGAACGUACCGAGUAAUGGGGGAUAACUAAUCGAAAGAUUAGCUAAUACCGCAUAUUCUCUGAGGAGGAAAGCAGGGGACCUUCGGGCCUUGCGUUAUUCGAGCGGCCGAUAUCUGAUUAGCUAGUUGGUGGGGUAAAGGCCUACCAAGGCGACGAUCAGUAGCGGGUCUGAGAGGAUGAUCCGCCACACUGGGACUGAGACACGGCCCAGACUCCUACGGGAGGCAGCAGUGGGGAAUUUUGGACAAUGGGCGCAUGCCUGAUCCAGCCAUGCCGCGUGUCUGAAGAAGGCCUUCGGGUUGUAAAGGACUUUUGUCAGGGAAGAAAAGGCUGUUGCUAAUAUCGACAGCUGAUGACGGUACCUGAAGAAUAAGCACCGGCUAACUACGUG
rnacentral:rRNA from 1 species